rnacentral:rRNA from 1 species
AACGAACGCUGGCGGCAUGCCUAACACAUGCAAGUCGAACGAAACCUUCGGGUCUAGUGGCGCACGGGUGCGUACCGCGUGGGAACCUGCCCUUAGGUUCGGUAUAACUCCCCGAAAGGGGUGCUAAUACCGGAUAAUGUCUUAGGACCAAAGAUUUCUCGCCUUUGGAUGGGCCCGCGUUGGAUUCGCUAGUUGGUAGGGUAAAAGCCUACCAAGGCGACGAUCCAUAGCUGGUCUGAGAGGAUGAUCCGCCACACUUGGACUGAGACACGGCCCAGACUCCUACGGGAGGCAGCAGUGGGGAAUAUUAGACGAUGGGCGCAGGCCUGAUCCAGCAAUGCCGCGUGAGUGAUGAAGGCCGUAGGGUUGUAAAGCUCUCUUACCCGGGAUGAUAAUGACAGUACCGGGAGAAUAAGCACCGGCUAACUCCGUG